GAAUGUGAGAGUGACAUCCAUCACCCCAUUUAUUGCCAGUAUUGAUUCCGCUGGUCUAGAUAGCUAGGCAGUUGUCGCCUUCUUCCCUCACAACUCCAUGAGCAUCCUUCCUGAAGUUGCCAGCUGAGUCAGAGAGGAUGAAUUUGAAUUUCCCCAAUUGAGGAAGAACAGCUUUCCCUCAAGGGUAUAUACACUACCCUGCUAAAGUCUCUAAACAAACUCUCGGUUUUUUUAUUAAAGCAGGCACUGUGGUUGCUCAGAGGAUCUCCUGUUCCUGUAAAGCUAAUUGAGUUGCUGCUCA
rnacentral:snRNA from 1 species